GGCGCGGCACGGCCCCUGAGUGGCCGAAAUGGUGCGGAGGCGGGGCUAGGGUGGCCUCCCCAGUCGGUCGGCCGGGGAAGCCUGGUGCUGGGACUGCCCUGUAGACCUCCAACAGCAGGAGCUUCUGGGGGCUUCCCCAAGAGCUUUCCGCCAUUGGCCAGACUUUGAAAGCGCUGUAGGAACGAUAAGGAAGCCGAGGCUUAGAAAAAUAACCUGACAAAUAUAAGCUUCCAUAUAGGAUCAAGCACAGCUAUCAGCACAAAGAGAAAAACCAACCACAGAAAAAAGGAAACAACUACUUUUGACUACUGCUUGUCAGCUGAGUCCCACCAGCCCUUUUGAGUGGCUUCAUGGUACAAAUUCUCAUGAUUCAGGGUGCCUGGGUGGCUCAGCAGUAUUCAAUAUAUACUUCGAGCCUUCCUCUCCUCUCUUCACAAAAGGCAAUCGAGGAAGAACUAUACACGGUUUACCUGCAGGAAAGAGCAUAAAGGUAAUAAAAGGGCUGAGUGAGUUAUAAAGUAAGAGAGUGAGGGCAGAUUCUAUAGAGCCCUUGUGUGCCAGCAGCAAAGCUGAGUGAAGGAACAUCUGGAAAGCCCUUUCCCCCAGCCAUAUCCCAUAUCAAUCACCCCAUCAGCAUCACCCCUGGAGUCCAACUCUGUUCUUAGGAAGCUUAGGAAGUUUGGAACA